AGCGGCGGACGGGUGAGUAACGCGUGGGUAACCUGCCUCAUACAGGGGGAUAACAGUUGGAAACGGCUGCCAAUACCGCAUAAGCGCACAGUACCGCGUGGUACCGUGUGAAAAACUCCGGUGGUAUGAGAUGGACCCGCGUCUGAUUAGCUAGUUGGUGGGGUAACGGCCUACCAAGGCGACGAUCAGUAGCCGACCUGAGAGGGUGACCGGCCACAUUGGGACUGAGACACGGCCCAA
rnacentral:rRNA from 1 species